AAAAUUUCUUCAAACAUUUUUUUGAGAGGAUUAAUAUUCAACAGCAUAGUGAAUUGCUCUAAGAGAAAACAAAAAUUUUAAGUUCAUUAGAACACAUUCUUUCUGUGUCAGAAACCUAUGCUGUGUCAACUAUUUAAUCACAAUCCAAAUUUAGAGCUGAAUCCAGCUUGAAUGUUGUGUCCAUACUUGCCCCAACCGUUCAGGGUUCAACCUCUGCGGUCGUAUAAAGCUACGCCCUGCGGAGCAUC
rnacentral:lncRNA from 1 species